rnacentral:misc_RNA from 1 species
GGAAGGAUCAUUAACAAAUCGUGCGGGUGCGGUGGUGCCACGUUACAGUGGUGCCAUCUCUUACACACACCCACAUACGCGCUCCGGCCCCUUUGGGGGCUGGAUGCACAUAUAUAUUCUUGUAUUAUCUUGUCAAAUAUCAGUCACAAUUAUACAAACCACUUUUAACAACGGAUCUCUAGGCUCUUGCAUCGAUGAAGAACGCAGUAAAGUGCGAAAAGUAAUGCGAAUUGCAUACUCUGCGAGUCAUCUAAUCUUUGAACGCAAAUGGCACUGUCAUGUCAAGUGACAGUAUGCCUGUUUGAGAACCAUAUAACCCAUCACCACUAGUUAGUGGUGGAUCUGUCGGGCACGAUGAGGUGCCGGACUAAAUGCAUGUACCCGGUGAGCGGUCACUGCGAUAUGAUAAUAUCUUUAUUGCAGUGUGCAGCUCGACGAGCCGGGUAGUCCGAAUGUGGGUGAGGAGGAGGAUGUGUGUGUGGUGUGUGGUGUGUCGUGCGGGGUCAUAGCAAUGUGGCACUGCAUGGUGCGCAUCACACAGCAGGUGUGCCGUGUGGGGUCAUAGCAAUGUGACACUGCAUGACACACACGCACAGCAGGUCAUAGCAAUGUGACACUGCAUCACAGCACAACCCCCUCCACCUCCAACCAAUAUACAAUGGUCUCAAAUCAGGCAAGGCUACCCGCUGAACUUAAGCAUAUCAGUAAGCGGAGGAAAAGAAACUAACAAGGAUUCCCCUAGUAACGGCGAGUGAAGUGGGAAUAGCUCAAAUUUAAAAUCUGGCCCCCGCGGCCCGAAUUGUAGUCUAAAGAGGUGCUAUCGCGAGCGACGCUGUGCACAAGUGUCCUGGAAUGGACCGUCACAGAGGGUGAGAACCCCGUUUGGGUACAGCGAAGCGAGCAUAUGAGGCACUCUCGAAGAGUCGAGUUGUUUGGGAAUGCAGCUCAAAAUGGGUGGUAAACUUCAUCCAAGGCUAAAUAUUGGCAAGAGACCGAUAGCGAACAAGUACCGUGAGGGAAAGAUGAAAAGCACCUUGAAAAGGGAGUUAAAUAGCGCGUGAAAUUGUUAAAAGGGAAACGAUUGAAGCUAGCAUUUGGUGUGCGAGUGGGGCAGUGUAGUGCGUGCGGUGUGGUGGUGACACUACGACGGCACGCAUGAAGCAGCCGCACUGUGCAUCAGAGUCAGGGCCGCUUCGGAGUGCCUUACAAGACUCGGGGAAGGUAGUCACUGCUCGCAGUGACCUUAUAGCCCCGAGGGAUGUGGUGCUCUGUAGGUGGUAGUGGGGGAAGGACUGGCGGACUGCGUGGGGCUGGUGUGCAGACUGCUUGCAGACUGCAUAACCACGCCCCGUGCACAAGGCCAUACGACCUCUGCAGGCCUGUCGGAAUGGCUUUAAACGACCCGUCUUGAAACACGGACCAAGGAGUCUAACAUGUAUGCGAGUGUUUGGGUGGCAAACUCGAACGCGCAAUGAAAGUGUAUACGUGGGAACACACAUCAGUGGGCACCAUGGACCGAUCUUGAUAUCUCUUGAUAGAUUCGAGUCAGAGCAUAAAUGUUGGGACCCGAAAGAUGGUGAACUAUGCCUGGAUAGGAUGAAGCCAGAGGAAACUCUGGUGGAGGUCCGCAGCCGUUCUGACGUGCAAAUCGAUGGUCAAAUCUGGGCAUAGGGGCGAAAGACUAAUCGAACCAUCUAGUAGCUGGUUCCCUC